CGCCAGCUACCAUCCAACUCUGAAUGACCUUGGGCGUCCUUUUCCUCAUCUGUAAAAGAAGAGUUUCAGACCACGGAUCACUGAGGUUCCCUCCAGCACUGCCACUUGACGUCCGUGGUUACAGGAACAGACGUCGUUAAUCCAUCAAGACGUUCUCCGUGUGAGCCAGGAGCCAGCCUCACAGGCCUCCAUGCAGCCCCGCCAAUCAACCCAAGAUGGCACCCCCUCCUCCAGGAAGCCUCCUUGCUUCAGCCCCAGAUACCGAACCCUACUCCACGCAGAACGUGGAGGACGUGACACUCAACAGUGGGCAGAGCCACAAGGGCCACAGUUGACCGCCAGCCACAUGGGGUGUGAGCGAGAAAGCCAGGUUGGUUGUUGUGAGCCCCUGAGCGUUGGGGCUGCUCGUUACCACAGCCACAAGGACCCAUACCGACAGGAUUAAGAGGAAGGGCCUCCGAGGAGGGGUCCCACGACCUACUGGAGAGGAGGAGGCAGGGCUUGGAAGCUGAUGUGAAGGAAGCGAUGGGAGCAGACAAAAUGCGGCACACACAGCCUGGCACACAUGUGCACACAUGUGAAACACAAGGGAACUUCCACACCAUCUGCCCUUCUUUCCCACUAGA